CUGCUGACCACUAGGGCGGCAGUAUAUAAGUGCGGCCUUCCUUCUCGCGCUCCCACUGCUGCAUCAUUUCCGGGUCAGGUGUCUGUCUGUGCAGAGCAGCGACCGAGUGCUCCGUGUGGCGUUCUCCAUUUUUAUUUCCUGGUUCUCUUGAGCAGUGGUAGAUGUCUGCUGUCGUGUGGGUCUUUCUCUCCCUCCCUCUCGCUGUGCAGGUUUGACUUUGAAAACAGGGAAUGCUCAUCAGCUGGCCGAAGUCUACCGGUGGUGAUUGAUGUGAUUCCACCACCAGCUGAUUGGGGCCACUGCUGUUUUGUCUCCACUGCUAAAUGCUGCUUGGUCUGCUUUUGUCUCCACUGCUAAAUGCUGCUAAUUGUACAGCUUUCUCUGCUGCUAACUACACAGUCUACUCUCUGCUGCUGAAUGUAUAGCUUUGCCUACAGAGCCUUGUCUGCUGCUGUGCCUCGGCUGCUAGCUGCACAGCUUUGUUUUUGCAGCGAACUACACAGCGUGUCGCUACUGCUUGGCACUGUUGUUGCUGGCUUUUGGUGCGCAUGGUGAA